AAUAAUACAUUUUAUUUAAAGGCGCCUCUCUGGCCACUCGAGGAACACCAUACAAUACAUAAAAAUAAAAAACUGUAAGAAAUAAGAACCAGACAGGAAAAAUACAAUGUAGAGAGUUAAGUGGAGUAUGCAGUUCUGAAUAGGUGAGUUUUUAGUCUUGAUUUGAAGAGGGGGAGAGAGUCUAGGUUCCUGAUGUCCGGUGGAAGUGAGUUCCAGAGUCGGGGGGCAGAGUGGCUGAAAGCCCUACUCCCCAUGGUGACGCGGCGGGCAGGAGGGACAGAGAGGUGGACAAAGAAACAUCAGUCUUUCUUAACUGUUUCUGAAAGCAGCUAUAUAAAGGUAGAGCAACCCCUGUCAGAUAAAAGUAACCAUGUAACCUAUUGCUAAUGUAAAAGUACCACUUCAGUCUGUCCAUUAAAUAUGAAGCCAAUGUCAGCAGCUGGUCAUUUAGCACUGAGGAAGGUGGAGUGAGCCUGUUUACAUUAGAGUUACACUUUGGUUAAAGCCUGAUUAUUCCAGCUGCACUUGCAAACACUAAAGCAUUAAACUACUGCAUCUAAAUCUAUGUGAAAGUAUGUUUUGGCAUUAAAAUUGAUAAACCCAGCACACUAAAAACUAAAAUGUUUUAAGUAUCAAAUCAUAACCCCAAAACUAGAAGUUAGAGGUCAGAGACUCACAGUAAAAAAAAAUACAACACAAAUGAGUUUUUAAAAUCAGUAUGUUGAUGGUGUAGGAGUUAAUAAGGACCCACUGAGCUCAAGUAACUCUGCACUACUACAGGCAUGUGAUGGCCAUAAUAACAUAGUGGACUACAGUGACCAUGCUGUGUGGGUUUUAUCAUUAUGGACCCAUCAGGUGCUGAAGGAGGCUGUCUCUACUGACAGUCAGUGGGAGGAAUGGAUGAUCACAGCUCAUCAACAUGUGGACACUAAAGUUGGACAGUUUAUAUAAUAAAUAUGACUGAAACAGGUUGAAUUAGAUUCACAAUGUAAUUAUAACUAAUGGUUUCCAUGUUGCUACACAGCAGCUGUACAAUAAUAAAAGGAAAACAAAUGACUGCAAACAAAUCAUUGGAAAAUAAAAAUACAAGUAUGAAUAAAAUGAAAAUAUAUUUACUCAGGCAGGAGCGUCAGUAAAUGUCAUAGAAACAGAAUGAUCACCUGACCCAGGUCCUGUAUAAAUGCUGCAGAACUUUUUGAUUUCUCUCUUUUAACUUGGCCUUUGACACGAGUUGACCUGUUGCAAACCCUGUGGAAAAACCUGAGGAAGAUAACUCUCUUAGAGGAAUAAUCUAAUGGAACACGGAUAUUGUUGCAACAACCAAACUAUUGGAUCUCUGGAUUAUUGUGGAAAACCGAGGAGGCUGGAAAUGACCCUCAGUGGACCACUGAUCAACGGACAGUUGCUGAUGGGAGUCGGCCCUGAGCUGGACAACCGAGCAGACGAGCGUUAGGGCAUCCCCCCGGUUGAGUUCGAGGAGGACGAUCAACCAAUGGAGACCGACGAGGAGGAGGAUGAAGACGCUAAAGAUUCUGACGGCUGGUCGGUCAGCGAGGAUUCUGGGUAUGAGUCCAUGUAUGAGGAUGAAGAGGAUGUAGAAGAUGGCGAUGAUGAUGAUGUCUUCAGACCUCGCUCCCCCCUCGUGUUGCCGUUCCAACCAGAGCGUUUUGGGCAGGGAUGGAGACAAGAGCAUCCUCCUGUUCCCGCUGGUCCUCCCAUCGCCGCUCCUGUUGCUGCUCCCAGCAGCUGACUGUCAGGCCCCUGCCAGAGCUUCCUGGGCAGCGAGUGGAACCGCCCGAAAAAGAAUGAGGAGCAGGGAGGAGCAGGUAAGUACGAAGAGGCAGUGGUGGAACUGUGAGGAUGACCACGAAGACUCAGCUCUCUCGACUUCAGGCCUCGGAUCCAGGAGGUUCCAGCUGGGUGGUUUUCAGUACCAGACGUGGGCUGAUGACAGUGACUCUGAUUAGGACUCAGAGCUCUGUUUGCUGCAGGAAAGCUGAAACCUUCCUAUCUGGUAGGGCCGGUGAGGCCCCAGGUAAUCUUUCCACGCAUCGGCAGGGUUGGAAAAAUUUUUGUUUCAAGCACCUUAAUGUGUGUCUCUUCAACCCAUUUACACACACACACACACACACACACACACACACACACACACACACACACACACACACACACACACUCACACACACACACACUGAUGGCAGCCAUGCUUGUUAUUUUAAUUUCACGUAUUUAAUGUGAUUAUUAAUCGUACUCUGUUAUGCGGUACACUGUUUUUGUCUUUAUAAGGUGUAGGUGGUUAUACCAGACAAUGGUAAGUUAAUACUUAAUGACAAGUCUUCUCUCACUCAGCUGUUAUUCAAAGAUUGCAUAUUUUACUUAUCUUUAUGCACACGGCAUCAACCGAACCCAGACUCUACAUCCGGGAUUGCCAUGACGACAGAGAAGAUACCGACCAGACAAGAAGGUCAGGUGACUACAGGAGCAGCUGGAGAGCGGCGGGCCCCUUUCUUUCAGUCGGCUUAGAGUGGACGUCAACCAGCCAAUCAUCCCAGGAAGACCCAGCAGACCACUGACCCACCUUCUACACCCACCAGGGUUUGGGAAGCUCCUCACGCAGGAAGGAAGUUGUCACCGUCUCUUUGAAUCGAUGCUCAGAAAUCAAGACAUUCAUGAGGCAAUAAUGAAUUGUAAGUUUGAAAGUAUUUAGUUUGUCACAUUCAAUAUAGUGUACUGUGUACUGUAUGCACAGUAUGUAUACUGAAUAGUACAAUGCAAUAUAAGACAAACUUUAGAAAUAUUUUUUAGUAUUAUUCAGCAAUAUUACAAUCUUUCAUGUAUAAUUCAGACAUUUGGCAGUGUAAAUAAAUCUAAUAAAUUAUGA